rnacentral:misc_RNA from 1 species
GGCAGUGCAGUGGGCAGCAGCAGGAACUCUGAAUUCCAGAAAAGCAGCAGAAUCGGCACAGUGAUUUGCCGGAGUGUCUAUCGGAGAAGGAAAGGUAUAUUAAGACAUGAGUACUUGUGUACUUCAUGUGUUGCCUGCUUGUCUCGCCUCUCCUCAAUUGCAAUUACAAACCAGGAGGAAGCUAUUAAACCUUCAUUCUAUCCGUCAAAAACCCUUCUUUAGAUCUCUACAGAUUGUACCCUCUGC